ACACUGCAUUUGAUCUGCCGUGGUAACGUUUGAAGUACAAAAAGGCACCUGAACCCUUUUGUAGGGGAAGUGACAACCUCCCCUGAAACACAUGUGCUGUUUUUUUCCUCCCGUGGCUGAUACAAUCUCGUUAUUAAAGCGUCCCUCACUGGAGCGCAGAGCCACAGGCUCCUGAGUUUCUUUGGGAAAUAUUUCAUGCUUUAAUACCUUACCUAGUAGAAGGCACUUUAUCCUUCCUCAGCCUACAUUACCAUUUUGUUACAUUGUACUUUCUAGAUCAAUUUUCAAUGGCCACCUACAGCACAGUAAGCCAACUUUUAACAAAUGGUGUACUUCUCACCUGUACCCAUUACUUGAGUGGAGAUGUGCAAUUGCAACAGAUGCAGUUUCUGCUCUUCGUGUUCUUUUGUUCUUUCUGUCACUCUGGGCUAGUAACAGCAAUGUAAACUGGUGUUUCAGCCUAAGGGCUAACUCAAUCAUCUCGUCAUUAUACUGGACAGCAAAAGAACAGCCUUGUCCCCUUUCUUUAUAUUAGAUCACAUCUCUCUGUCUUUCAUCUCCUUGUAAGCAUUUGAUCUGUUUCUAAUUUCAGUCUUUCAUCUCUGCCUCUCUUAUUGGGUUAUAUUGUUCUCCAGAUAACCCUGAAAAAUGGAGGAUGCUCCCUGUCCACCUGUCCAUCAUCAACAGUGUUUUUCUUUUUUUUUUUUUUUUUUUUUUCCCUCAGAGCAUAACCAUGUCACUUUUUCCCCUUCGGCACAGCUUUGGGAGAGGUGGGAAUGGUGGAGCAGGUGCAUUUAGAGAGGCUAUUGAUAAAAAUGCUUAUGGCCACACAGAUUUUGCUUACAGCAGUAUUCUCACAGGUCUUAUCAGAAGUGGAGCUGCUCUGAUAACUCCAAAGCAGUCACAGGAGAUACUCUGGCUCAGGCAGAACCUAAAGGUGUAGGAAGAGAUAGGAGCUGUAUUUUGUUCUUCCAAAGCCCAGAGGAGUCAGCAUAUGUCAAUAUAGACAAAUUGUACUUUUAUAAGUACUAAAUAUGGACAGAGUCACUGGACCGGAGGGGUUCGUGUUUCAGCUCAAUAUGCUUAGUACUUGGGGUAAAAGAGAUGUGUCAAUUGCUCACACCCUUAUUUUCUUCCAAGAAGAUAUGCAAGUAAAUACAGCUAGCAGCAGGUACUCUCAAUCCUCAACAUGAAAGAUAACGAAGCAAGAGAGUUACUUACUAUUUAUAUUGGUUACUGCAGUGCAAUCAGCUGUGGUGGUUUGGGUAAGCCAGUUGUGCUGCAUUCUUCUGAUACUGUGUAUUGUCAAAGGAUGGGGCUGGGUCCCAUCCUGUACUGGGGAAUUAAAACUAUAUUGAAAUGCAUGGGACAGUUUAUUCUCCCAGUACUAGCUCUUCUAAAUUUUUUUUUUCCUGUUAUAAUAAUAAACUGUGUACCUGUGUCCCAUCAGAGGAAGAAAAAGACAAAAGUUCCAACAUUUCUGUUCCUUCACUUCUGUGGAUAUCGUGUCUUGAAGUAUUUCUGCACCUGAGAAAGUCAGACCUGAUUAUCUAUGACACCGAUGCAGGAACUGUAAACUUGUUGCAGCCAGAUUUUUUUACCCAUGUUUACUUGAGAAGUGUGACUCCAUGAGCAAGCAGUUUCCUGCAUGCGUCUCAAACAUUGGCAAAUACAUGUUGCUUCAGUCAGAGUUGCUAUGUUAAUUUUGUCAUGCUUGAAGUGUAUUGCAUUUUUAGAAGAAAAAAAUGUAAAUUUCUAAGUUAUAAACCAGCAUUUUUCUCUCCUCUUUUAUCCCAGAUAUCUCCCCCAGUGUGUUCAUUAGUUACAAAAUUCUGGCGUAACCAUAAGAGUACAUGUGAGAUAUUACAAAUGAGUCCAAUAUUAAGCAGAUUAUUUUAGUCAUUUGCAUAUUUCAGAUGUCUUGGUUAACACAUUGCACAGUAAGUUUAUGUUCUUGCACUUUUAAGAAACAACAUUGUAUCACCUAUGUCACAGAUCCUUUUAUAGGGUAAGCAUGACAAAAAUUUGUUCACACAAGCAUGAGAAUGAAGUUAAGGGCGUUGCUGAAGGUCACUGCAAGUCAAGUCAAGUAAUGCACAGGAUAUUGAUCAUCUGACAGGUCAGGAAUAAAAUUCAUGACUUCUGAAUCUUCCCAGUCCUCAGAGAGUGUAAACAUCAAAUUAGAAGAGUCAAGGACAGGUCCCAUGAGAUAACACCAGAAGAGAAGCAAGUAUGGUGAAGAGAAUGGGAAGAGAGAAUGGGUCGGAAAAGUUGCACAAGGCAUAGGAGGAAAGGGCUACCAAUGAAGGAAUGGGUUGAAUGCAUAGAACUUCAUUCCCUGGUACCAGCAGCCAGUUCAGCUGAACAUGGACCUUGUGCUUACAAUCUCUUGAAAGAGGCUCCACCCUCAUCAAACCAGUCCUGCCUAGAUGCCUUCUGAGACCGGCUGCUGCCCUCCCCCACAAGAAGCAACUGGUGCUGGAGUGUGAACAUUUGUACACCACUUUUAUCAGCCUGGAUGACUAAUCCUGUCUCUAUGACAGUGCUAUGGAAACAGUUGUUAGGAAAACAAUAGAGCUGCUGGUGACCAGACCCACGUGCAAGGCUGGUGUGGUGGGCCAGGCGCAGAGCUCUUCAGGAUCUCAAAGCCUCGUCUGACACAGCUUCUCCCAGUGCUCCCACAAACAGCCAGCACUUCAGCAGGGGACCCAAAGCAGUCCUUCCAAAUACUGUUUUCUCAGCAUCAGAUCCUGACCCUCAAGGUGUUUUUGAAAGAGAACCUUCUGCCUUCGAUAGAUCACUGACAAUGAAAGUCUUUGUCUACCCUCAGAAGAGGUCAUUUCUACGGGACUUUCAAGCCUAUACAGAUUUGGUAUUCGCUUAGAGAGCAUCUAAGGAAUCUGCAGCUGUGAUUGUAAUUGCAUGCUCAGACCUGCAGGCUCUCUGGGUGGAAGGUGUUACUUGCGAUGCAUUUCAGAUGGCAGAAUGGCUUCAUUCAAAAGUCACUGGUCUUUUGGGAAAUAUGCAUUAUGCUGUUUGCAAGGUCGAAGUCUCUAGCUGAAUUAGCAAGAACGCACUGUGAGCAACCUAGAAAAGGUAGCAUUUGUCUUGUGAAGCAUUUGCCAAAGUUUAACACACACACAGCAAAGAUAUACAUAGAUGUAAGUAAAAUAUAAAUAAUUGCAGUGAGUGCCUUAUAAUGCAUUCAAGGUGUUCUACUUUUCUCAGUUUGCAUUCUAAAAUGUGAAAGGUAAAUAAAUGGACUGUAAGCAAAUUUAUUUUUCCUGUUGGUUUUUUUCCUGUAUUUUUCCUGUUUCUACACAGUCAGAGGUUGCAGGAUAUAUCUCUGGGAAAUGAGCCUAUUGAAAAUGUAAUUCUUUGGUGCAGACAGCUUUUCAUGCACUAAGAUGUGCAGACAGAACCUGGGGAUGCAGAGACACGUUUAACUGUUCACAGUGUGACAGUGCUAAAGCACUAUGAGGAAUGAGGUAGCUUAGCUCUCUCUGUAAAGUCAUAUGAUAACACAGCAGGUAAUGCUAGAUGAGCUCUGUGUACCAGUUUCAGACUGGGUCUUCACCAGGUUUCCAGGAGUAUCUGUAGCAUCUGGAUCUCUACUUCUGGGCUACACAUUGACAGAAACCACCUCAUUAGGGGCUGAAUUUGUCUGGAUACUUUGUGAAGCCAACUUCAAACUUUAUAGAACUUCUGCUGGGGUUUGCUGAUGGCCUUUGCUGUAAACAUUGAAUUUCUUCCAUGUAGUAUGGGUGAUCAUGUCAAUAGCACCAACAGAAGUGCUGGUGUUGCCCUUUCCCUUAUUGCAGUACUGCUAAUGACCCUUUGCUUUGUAGUGCCCCUAGUCUAUGUCCCAUAAAUACCCCUCCUCCAGUGUUAGCACUGCCAACUGCUUGCAGGUCUUGGUAUUUCAGAAGCUGCUCAGCUAGGAUUGGAUGUGAUCCUCUCUCAAGAGAACAGGGAUCUAUCAGGAGGAUCCUGAUAGGACUGUAUUGAAGCACAGAAGGAGAGAAAAGUGUGGCCACUCUAAGGAAGUAUGUACCCUUUUCUGCAUAUACUUGUAAACAAGUUGUAACUGCAAACACCUGCACUGCAUGGUGCACUUGCAUUUAGAACAGGAAGGUGGUAUCAGGUCAAGUCGAUUUGAGGACAGAAGCUAUACACAAGUAAACGGAGAAGCUGAUCCCAGUGCAGAGGAAUGCUGGAUGGAGAGCAAUAGGCAGCAGAAUUGCUUAUCUGAAACAUAUAUGGAUUGAAUGUGACCUGUUUCCUGCAGGGCUCUCAUAUGUGCAGCAGUGAAACAGGUGAGAAGACUCAGUGCCAGCUUCUUGGAUAUAUUUGUCAGUGCUGCUGUGGGAAGCAAGAAACCACCAGGGAAGUUACACAGGUCUUUUCUGUGUUGGUCAUCAGAUGUAAUGAGGUCAUUCCUUCUCGAUAUAAUCUGGCAAUGGGUAUACAGCCAUUUCCUGAAACUAUAUGAGUCAUAUUGACUCAUUAGUUUUCCUUUGGUUUUCUUUAUAAAGAAUAAGUGGGUUCUAAGGUGAAGAAUAAACACUCCUGAGGCUAUUGUACUUUCAUUUUGGCUCACUGGUCUGUUUUUAAAUGUCUUCCAAGUCUUUCCUUUGUUAGCCAUGUUAAUUCAAGAGGAGUCCAUUGAUGUUAGAUCCUGGGCAUCAUUACUCUCACUACCUUCCAGAACUGGGUUUGGUUUUUGGUUUGGGUUUGUUUUUUCCUGUCAUGUACAUUCAAUGAUUUCAAUGUAUCUUCUUUUUUUUUUUUUUUUUCCCAUGGGAAAAUAAAAUCAAAUAAUUCUUGCAAAGCACUUCUUUGGAAGGAGAUAGACAAAUCACAUUUUUGUAUUAUCAAGAGGAAGCUGCUGGCUUGACCCCAAAAAAUAUUUCUAGAAAAAGUGACUUGGAUUCAGGUAGACAUACAGAUAAUGUCACAAUAUUUCUACAUUCUUAAACGGAUCUCACCUCCUAAGCACUUACACUUUUUGUUGCCUACAGUACAGCAGUCUCAAAAUUUAAAAUAUCUUGUCAUCUGUUUGUCUGUUUAAGAUCAGAAGGCAAAUAUAAUAUCCAGUGAUCAGCUGGUAGGAUACCCCAGCAUAAACAUGGUGCAAUUUGCCCUUGCAUUCCAGUUUCCCUCUUCUCUACCUCUUGAUGUUGGAUAUUUAUAAAAGUGAGCUGUUCAUAUUUAAGGAUCUUAUUUUGGGUUUCAAGUUAAUCAGUUCUCACCAGCUAGCGUGCCUAUACAGGAGACCGCCAAGGAAAACCCAUUUGCUUCAGUAAAAAGACUAGAUUUUUUUUCUUCCUGUGCUUUUAAUUUUAAUAAGUUUGAUAAAAAAAGGACCUUGAAGUACUUUAAAAGAGGGAAUGAUUAUGUGAUUGUCCUGCACUAUUCCACCUCAGACAUGGUUCCAUUUCAGAAUAAGAGUUUUCCUGCAUUAGAAGUUACGCAUUGUAAUCAUCGGUCUGUGGAGGAAAUGAGUUAUUACACGUUUGUUGUAACAUUCCUCAGUUGUCUACGCUGUUCAUACCAACAGCAUUACGUAUUUAUGUAUGCCAUCAUAAAACAGACCCACCCAUGCAAUAAUUAUUACCAUAUGAAUGUGAGACACUUACUGAAGGUCCGCUUAGGAACAUAUGGGUCUGUUCACGGAUGAAUAUAUAUAUGGUUGUAUAAUGGUCGUAAAUAUUGCUAAGCCUUGCUUGGUUCAGGUACUUCGAAGAUACAUGUUUUCAUAGGUGUAUUAACCUGACUUUAGUGCAUGCAGGUAAGGUAAACACAAUAGUACAUAGGCUUAGAGGUUAAUUGACUGACUAAGCUUGGUAGCUUACAAAGUGAGUCUUCUUGAAAAGUCACUAAUGAGAGCCUCAUUCCAAGUAUUUAAUAUGGCCUUGCCAUACUGCUAUGCAGGCAUGCAGUUAUGGAAAGGAUUUGAAUAUAUAACCCUCCGUUUACAGAUGCAAUAAUAUAAUGCAGGAGGGUAUGUAGUGUGCAAGGUUGUAUUAGCUUUCUUGCCUCUAAAGAGAGGAAGUUAGAGGAACAUGCUGUUAAAACUGAACUAUCACAACCAGUGGGAUUUCACAACAGAGAUGAUGUUGCAAAGGUGUCCUGAAUGGUAAAUGCAUAUCUUGACUUAGCCACACAUUUCUACUUUAAUUACUAAAUAUGCAGAAGUAGAAUUGCAGGGACAUUGGCAAGUCAGUCCUUUUCAUCUGCAUUCUAUUUUCAGCUGUAGCCUUGCUGUAGGACAAAUAUCAUUAUUUCACACCUCAUCAUUCAAUGACAUAGUUCCCAUAGAGUCAUCGUCUUCCCCACCAUCACUCAGUGUUUAUAGGAACUAAGCGGAAGGAUAAACAUUUUCCUGUAGGGACUCCACCAGAGUUUGGUGUUGGCAGACAUAGUCACAGAAGUAAUUUCAGUGGGCUCACUGAUGAUGUCAUUGCACAGUACUCUCUGUUCUUAACUCUCCUAACGCUGUCUGAUGGGCUGCGUCCUGUAUGGCUCUCACUUCCUUCUUUCAGCAAACAUUGCAUUUCCUGCCUCCAAUGGUCCUUCACAGCUUCUCGUUCUCUUUGUGUUUCCUGCAACCAACCCCUUCUGUUUUUCUGCCAUAUAAUGCAGAGAGACAAAGCCACAUCCUGAAACUGAAAAACCAAGACAGAAGUCAUGGAACCAAAAAGAUCACCUCUACUAUUUUGCUCUACCUUUGUCUUUUUUCUCCUUCACAUCUGUCUGACUCUUUAGAUUAUAAGCAUUCCUUACGCUCUAUAGUGAAAGUGCUAGUGCACUGUAAAAAAAAUAUUUUCAACAAUUUCUUGUGAAGACUAAUGUGAAAUGUGCCAAUAAUAAUGUGGAACAUUGAAUAUCUUAGUCUUUCUAAUAGCUUCAAACUGUAGUGACUUCUCAGUAUUUCUUAUAGAAAACUAAUAUUACAAACCUAAAAUUCUACAUCUUACCUAUUUUUGAAUUAUAAAAGCAUCAAACCCAAGUUUGGAAUAAUUUCAUCAUACUCAAAUAAUUCAAUGUUUAAUUUUUUAAAAAAAUUUGGCAUUUCAACACAUGCACAUUAUAAACAAUUGCAAGUAACUGAGAUUAGAAUAAAGUCACUAUGUCAACUUUUAAAAAGGUGUGCAAUAGAGAGUUAAAAUGUUUUGUGUUUUAAGCAUAUGGGAUAUCAAAAUAAUCACACAGCGAUUAAUUACAGUGUUGUUUCAGUCCAGUUGAUAGCUGGUUACAGUAAAGUCAUGCUGUUUUAAUGAUUAAUUGAUGCCAAUACAAAUAUGAAGUAACUGUACAGGUACUCCAGUUAUUCCUGUUCUACGCAACACAUGUAUGUGUAUUCUGUAUCUGAAUUCUACAUACAUGUAUAGACAGACUCACAAUCACAUCUAUAUGUAUGUAUGUAUACGUAUCUCAGAUGUACAUUGUGUUCACAUGAAGCAUUGUGUUACACUAUAAUUAUUCCCAGCCAUGCUCUUUGUGGUUACGUGAAUUAGUGGUAAUUGUAGGAUAAAAAAUUACUGGUGUAACUGUGCUAUAAUUUCAGUGUAAUUACAGUCAUUGUAUUAUGAAUUUUAACCAAAUAUCGAGCCUGUACUCUUUCAAAACAGAACAUUUAAGUGCAACCAUUGCAUAAGAAAGCUGGAAACUUAUUUCACUUUCUGAAAGUUUCCUUUCUCUCCCACACUAGUGCCUUUCUUGGUUUUUUUAAUAAUUAAAAAGACGAAUCUGUGGGCAACUGAAAAACUCAUAUAUAUUAAAUAUGCUUGGCAGAAAAAAAUUAUGGAAAAUUAGCCUUUUCCUUCAAUUGGAGAGCUGAGAAUUAUUAAAUCCUAACUCUGUAUUUUUUCUGAAGAGAUUUACAGUAAAUCCAACACUUGUUGUAACACAUCUUUAUAAGAUACUAUAAUAGGAUGUUUUUUCCCUUUGGAUCUUACUUUUAAUCAGUAUAAUUCUAGUAUUUAUUAUUUCCAUCUGUCACUUUACUGCAGCUGCAUGCAAGCCACAUUCCAUCUUGAAACUGAAACUGAAAGAGAAAAUAAGGUAGAUCUCUACACUCGUGUUUGGCCAUAAAGCUGGGCCCAACACCUUUGCACUUCCAAAAAAUACAAUGAAAUCAUUAAUUAGUAUAAACAGGGAGGACUGUUGCUUUCCACAUGAAAGAAAGGCUGUUACUUUAGUUAUGCAUCCCUAAGAAAUGACCCAUUAAUUUUGCAGCUGAAGAGCAAAAAUAGCUUUUAAUUCCUAAACUAUAGCAACGUAGCCUAGGAUGCUCAGGAACUACAGCAUCAGUGGUAAUUUUCUUAGUGCACAGCAUGGCAGCUAUAGUUGAAACCCCCAGUAGCUGACUGUUUUCUUCAAGCAUAGACUUCUCAGCUUCUAAAGACCAGCUGCAAUAAACCCCAUGGUUCAAAGGAGAAGAUUGUGACACAUUUUGUCCCAUGCCAAGUUCCCCUUGAUAGUCGCAUCACAGGCUGCAGCCAGGGAACCUGCUUUUGGGAAGAACAGCACACUGGGAGACAUGUGCCAUGGACACAGCCUGUCAUUACAGGCUCUCUCGCACUCCUCAUUCACCACAUCCCACGCAGAGCUGGUAAGCGUGAUCUUGAGUGCCAGAGUGAGAGGAGGCAGAAGCACUGCACCACUGAUGCAUGAGCUAUGGGUCAUGUAAAAUGACACAAAAAGCUGUUGAGUAAGCCUGAAGCUUCCUGAAUCAGGGAUCCAUAGCCUGUUUAUUCCUAAAAUGUUUUAUUGUUACUGCAAAUGUCAGACAACACUGUAAAGAUCUACAGGCCUGCUUUUUCACUACCCUGAAGCUUGUGACAUAAUUUACAAAAUCAGAAUUAUAUAUUAACAAAUCAGCCUAUCAAUAUGCAUGGUAAAGGGUCGGGCAGAGGAAACUCACACAUAUAUAAUUGUUUAGCACUGUUAAAUAGUAAAAGAGGGCACAUGCAAAAGUUGGAUAGAUGAAGUAAAAUACAGUGCUUUCAAUAGGAGAGUUGACUAUAAAAAUGUUACUGUUCUGUGCUUGAUAUUAAAUGCUUUUUCAGUUUAAACUCAAGCUGAGUGUAAAACAAGGUCUCUUUACAGAUGGAAUUAUUCUCUUCCAUAUAUCUUAUAAAGAAUAGCAUGCACUCUUUUCUAAUGCAGCAGGCCAUAAUUUGACCAACUGGUGCUAGUGGUAGUGAUAAACAGGGAGACAGAAAGCCAGGGAAGUUUAUCACAUCAACUAGAAACCAGGAAUAGGAUGCUACACUUCAGAAAUUCUAUGAAGUGUGCUCAUGAAUCAUAAGAAGAACUUAUAGCCACAGUGAUCUGUACUUUACAGUAAAAUUCUGAUGUCUGAAGAAUUUGAGAUAGAUGGUGCUUUUUUGCAGCAAAGGAAUUGGGGGGGGUGUAUUGGGUUUCCGUGGCAAAGUUUUGGUAGCAGGGGGGCUACAGGGGUGGCUUCUCUGAGAAGCUGCUAGAAGCUUCCCCUGUCUCUGACAGAGCCAG